rnacentral:misc_RNA from 1 species
GAUGAAGAACGCAGCGAAAUGCGAUACGUAGUGUGAAUUGCAGAAUUCAGUGAAUCAUCGAAUCUUUGAACGCACAUUGCACCUCUCGGUAUUCCGGGAGGUAUGCCUGUUCGAGCGUCAUUUGUACCCUCAAGCUCUGCUUGGUGUUGGGUGUUUGUUCCGCCUCUGUGUGUGAACUCGCCUCAAAACAAUUGGCAGCCGGCGUACUUGUUUCGGAGCGCAGCACAUUUUGCGAUCCAGAUCAACGUACAGCGGCAUCCAAGAAGCCUUAUUUAACGCUCUUGACCUCGGAUCAGGUAGGGAUACCCGCUGAACUUAAGCAUAUCAAUAAGCGAGA